rnacentral:lncRNA from 1 species
UGGAAUCUUCGAGAUUAUAUGGAAUAUUAUCACUUUUGUACCCGUUUUAUCCCAUUCAAACUCUACAUUAUGAAGCAAGAUGACCAUAAUAUGUAAUUUUUAGCUUGUAUAUAUCAGUUUGUGGUGCAUCGGAAACAGUAUUUUUUACACAAAAAGAGUACAAACUAGAGCACAUUUCACGGAAUCUAGACGACUAUGUUGA